GUUUUGUGUGAUUUUAUAUAUUUGAUCUACGUGAAUUUAAAAGUCGCGACGCUCUCAUAUGGACAGGAUUAUGGGAAUAGGACGGAAGAACAUUCAAGAUGUCGUGACAAUAUCUAAACAGCUGUAUAUAUCUGGUAUUAGUCUGCAUGUAGAGAGCAUGAUGGCCACCUAUAUUAUAUAGAUUUUCACAGUAGCGAGAUACACAGGCAGCUGUUUCAUUGUUGUAGUCCGUGUUGCUGACUAACAUCUAUAGAAUCUGAGAUAUUGAUCAACAUAACUACAAUAGGUCUAAUCAAAUGUGAUUUCAUAUAUCGCUUGUGAAAGCAGGAAUUCGUAAUCUGUUGUUUUAUUUGAACCAUAACAGAGGAAAACAACUAUGGCGGAAAUAUACAUUAUAGAGAAGUUCCACGUUAAUUUGAAUCCGAUUUUAACCAAUAUGACUUCAUAUGAUAUUUUAAAUGUGGCGAUUCGAAGUGUUUUUAUUUUGACGGGAUGUUCCUACUUAUAUCAUCUUUUAAUGACAUCACGACAUGGAUUGAUGACGUCAUUGCCAGCUUUGGCAACUCUUGGCGCUGGCAUCGUCUUCAACUGUUUAGCCAUUAUAGACGUAUUUUUAAAAACAAAUCCGCUGGCAGCAUCGAUAGGAUUUCAAAUUAACCAGAUAGGAGAGGUGUUAGUUGCGUUUAUUAUCGGUGCCUUGCUGUUAAGUUACUUGAAAAAUCCAAACAUUGACAUCGGAAACAUUUGGAAAUGGAAUUUAUUUUUGGUACUUCUCUUAACCACUGUGUUAACGAUAUUACGAUGUAUACUGAAUAUUUCCACUGCCUUGGUGGUACUGAAAGACAACAAUAUGGUAGUGAUAACCCACAGAUCGUCAGAUUGGGCUGUGUAUAUAUGUGUUUAUAUGCCCCAGUACAUCAUAUUAUUAAGCCUUUUAUGUUAUGCGAACUCCCAAAAUAACGAAGUUAAAAAGAAAACGAUGCCUGGGAAUUGUGAUAUCUGUAAAGUCGUCAACCUUUAUUAUACACUAAAUAUUAUUUAUAUAGGUAUAAUAUUAUUCAUCGUAAAACCGCUGUCUCUUGUUAACGAAACAUGUAGUAAUGUGUCCCUGUGCGAUAAAAACACAGAAUAUUUGAUAGUGCCGCCUUUUUUCGCCGUGUCUUGUGUUUACUUGGGACGCAGUAUCUGUGUAAUGCGUCACAAAAAGUCUCCAGCCAGUGAUCAAAAGAUAUUCCUUGUUUGAAUUUAGAUAAAUGAGUUGGACCAACGGGGUGAUUUUCCCGUGUGGAAUUUUAAGUUUGUGUCGGAAACAAAGUGAGAGUGGGCCACGAUGUGCUGAUAUGCCACACAACAGUUAACCAAAAGGAAAAUCCUAGAUUUAUUUCAGUGAAUAAAACUACUUAGUUCUGCGUGGAAGAGUACCUGUUAUUCUAGCUGUCAUUGAUAUUCAGUUGUCAACUGGAGCUUCUUGACCAGCAAACACCUGUGCCCGGAUAAACAUGUCUAUAAGCUGGACGCAUGUGCAGUAAAAGCUUCCAGGUACAUUUCGUUUUGUGUGUUGUUUCCCAGCAAACAAUAGAAUUCACAGGAUAUUGAUCGUUUUAAUUAUCUUUUUUUUGCAAAAAUUAGAGUUAUGUAGGGCAACAUUACAUAUAAAAUGUUUUGGUGAUCAGAUUUUGGGCUGAAAACUUUACGUGAAAAAUUUGUGAAUGUGCGGUUAUGGUUUUUUACAGUUUCAGUGUACUGAAUAUUUAUGGGACUGCAGUGGAAUUGUAUAUUGUUAUUAAAAUAAAUUUAUUUUUAAAUGUGUAUUAUACUGUUAACACGCAACUGAAUAAAGACUUUAUUAUGGGUUUCA